rnacentral:rRNA from 1 species
GUGGGGAAUUUUGGACAAUGGGGGAAACCCUGAUCCAGCCAUGCCGCGUGUGCGAAGAAGGCCUUCGGGUUGUAAAGCACUUUCGGCCGGAACGAAAUCGCGCUGGUGAAUAUCCAGCGUGGAUGACGGUACCGGAAGAAGAAGCACCGGCUAACUACGUGCCAGCAGCCGCGGUAAUACGUAGGGUGCGAGCGUUAAUCGGAAUUACUGGGCGUAAAGGGUGCGCAGGCGGUUUCGCAAGUCAGGCGUGAAAUCCCCGGGCUUAACCUGGGAAUGGCACUUGAAACUACGAGACUAGAGUGUGGCAGAGGGAGGUGGAAUUCCACGUGUAGCGGUGAAAUGCGUAGAUAUGUGGAGGAACACCAAUGGCGAAGGCAGCCUCCUGGGUCAACACUGACGCUCAUGCACGAAAGCGUGGGGAGCAAACAGGAUUAGAAACCCCGGUAGUCC